rnacentral:misc_RNA from 1 species
GAAAUGCGAUAAGUAGUGUGAAUUGCAGAAUUCAGUGAAUCAUCGAAUCUUUGAACGCACAUUGCGGCCAUAGGUAUUCCUUUGGCCAUGCCUGUUCGAGCGUCAUUUACACCCUCAAGCCUAGCUUGGUGUUGGGCGUCUGUCCCGCCGUUUUCGCGCGCGGACUCGCCUCAAAGUCAUUGGCGGCGGUCGUGCCGGCCCCCUCGCGCAGCACAUUUGCGCUUCUCGGAGGCCCGGCGGAUCCGCGCUCCAGCAAGACCUUUCACGACUUGACCUCGGAUCAGGUAGGGAUACCCGCUGAACUUAA